rnacentral:rRNA from 1 species
CCCCUAAGUGGGGAAUAACUCUGAGAAAUCGGAGCUAAUACCGCAUGUGAUGAUAGGGGUAAUGCUCUAUCAGUAAAGCCUUCGGGCGCUUGGGGAGGGGCUUGUGGCCGAUUAGCUAGUUGGUAAGGUAACGGCCUACCAAGGCGAUGAUCGGUAGCUGGUCUGAGAGGAUGGUCAGCCACAUUGGGACUGAGACACGGCCCAGACUCCUACGGGAGGCAGCAGCAAGGAAUUUUGUGCAAUGGGCGAAAGCCUGACACAGCGACGCCGCGUGGGGGAAGAAGGCCUUCGGGUUGUAAACCCCUUUUUUCAGGGAAGAAUAAUGACGGUACCUGAGGAAUAAGUCUCGGCUAACUACGUGCCAGCAGCCGCGGUAAUACGUAGGAGGCAAGCGUUAUUCGGAUUUACUGGGCGUAAAGCGGGCGUAGGCGGUUUUUCAAGUCGGAUGUAAAAUCUCCCGGCUUAACUGGGAGGGAUCAUUCGAUACUGUUGAACUAGAGGGCCGCAGAGGGAGGUGGAAUUCCCGGUGUAGUGGUGAAAUGCGUAGAUAUCGGGAGGAACACCAGUGGCGAAGGCGGCCUCCUGGGCUGUACCUGACGCUGAGGCCCAAAAGCGUGGGGAGCGAACAGGAUUAGAUACCCUGGUAGUCCACGCUGUAAACGAUGGACACUAGGUAUGGGGAGUAUCGACCCUUUCUGUGCCGAAGCUAACGCUUUAAGU